GACGAACGCUGGCGGCGUGCUUAACACAUGCAAGUCGAACGGACAGGCCCUGCUUUUGUUGGUUGCUCGUGUGGCGAACGGGUGAGUAACACGUGAGUAACCUGCCCCUGACUUUGGGAUAACUUCUGGAAACUGGGGCUCAUACCGGAUAUGAUCUCCUGCUGCAUGUUGUGGGUUGGAAAGUUUCGGCGGUUGUGGAUGGACUCGCGGCUUAUCCGCUUGUUUGUGGGGUAGUGGCUUACCAAGGCUUUGACGGGUAGCCGGCCUGAGAGGGUGACCGGCCACAUUGGGACUGAGGUACGGACCAGAAUGCUACGGGAGGCAGCAGUGGGGAGUAUUGCACAAUAGGCGGAAGCCAGAUGCAGAAACGCCGCGUGCGGGAUGACGGCCUUCGAGUUGUAAACCGAUUUGGAAUGUGACGAAGAGUGAGUGACGGUAAUGGGUAAGGAAGCACCGGCUAACUACGUG
rnacentral:rRNA from 1 species